AUGGCUUCACUCAAAGGGAUUGGUAGUGAUGAGGACAUCCCAGGUUCACCUCGUUUAUCAUCUUCUCUUGAUGAUAAAUCUCAGCCAUCAAGUGAAGCUUCUACAAAUAAGAUCUAUUUGGGUCCCAUGACAAGGAGCCGUGCCAAACAAAUAGCACAAGAGGUGAACGCGCUCCUAGCUCAUCAUAAUUCAGAUGACCAUGAGAACUUUAUACUGCCUAAAUCCCGUGUGCUGAUUUUACUUAGGUACAAUGUCGAGGACAACCAACAACAUUCAGCACAUGAAGAAACAAGUGUGCAGUUUCAGAAUUCGUCCCAGAACUUGCUGAAUCAUGCAACGCAAAUAUAUGAGCAUCCAGCAUGUGUGGGAGUACAAAAUGGAGAGCAUAUGAAGUCUACUUUCAGGAAAAUCAAACGGUGCAUCAUUUGGAGUCCCGAGUCAAAGGAUAUGAGAGUUCCAAUGCAAGUUGUCCAGGGCAUUAAUUGCUGCGCGAGGCUCCAUGAGUUUGCUCCCUUGACCAGCUGGUUAGCACGAAUUUGA
rnacentral:rRNA from 1 species